GACCUGGUGGUGUAAUGGUAGCAUUCCGUGAGCAUAUGGAUUUUCAAGUGUGUGGUACAUGUUCUCCGCGGCAGACUCUGUUCAAAUCAGAGACGGGUCA